rnacentral:rRNA from 1 species
UACGUAGGGUGCAAGCGUUAAUCGGAAUUACUGGGCGUAAAGCGUGCGCAGGCGGUGAUGUAAGACAGAUGUGAAAUCCCCGGGCUCAACCUGGGAACUGCAUUUGUGACUGCAUCGCUAGAGUACGGCAGAGGGGGAUGGAAUUCCGCGUGUAGCAGUGAAAUGCGUAGAUAUGCGGAGGAACACCGAUGGCGAAGGCAGCAAACUGGUCCAUAUCUGACGCUGAGGCGCGAAAGCGUGGGUAGCAAACAGG